AUUGAACGCUGGCGGCAUGCUUUACACAUGCAAGUCGAACGGCAGCGCGGGCUUCGGCCUGGCGGCGAGUGGCGUACGGGUGAGUAAUACAUCGGAACGUGCCCAGUAGUGGGGGAUAGCUCGGCGAAAGCCGGAUUAAUACCGCAUACGACCUGAGGGUGAAAGCGGGGGAUCUUCGGACCUCGCGCUAUUGGAGCGGCCGAUGGCAGAUUAGCUAGUUGGUGGGGUAAAGGCCUACCAAGGCGACGAUCUGUAGCUGGUCUGAGAGGACGACCAGCCACACUGGGACUGAGGCACGGCCCAGACUCCUACGGGAGGCAGCAGUGGGGAAUUUUGGACAAUGGGCGAAAGCCUGAUCCAGCAAUGCCGCGUGUGUGAUGAAGGCCUUCGGGUUGUAAAGCACUUUUGGCGGGAACGAAAAGGACUGUGCCAAUACCACGGUUCGAUGACGGUACCCGCAGAAUAAGCACCGGCUAACUACGUG
rnacentral:rRNA from 1 species